GGAGCGUGCAGGAUGGCUGUUGAAGUGGGACGCCGCUGGGCCACCGAAGGCACCCGGUGCGGACUUUUCCAGCCUUCGGUCUCCUGACCU
rfam:Loxodonta africana cont3.41982, whole genome shotgun sequence.